rnacentral:lncRNA from 1 species
AGCUUUUGCUGUGUUUUGGGUUCUUCUCAUGGUGGAGUGUGAUGAGACUCAAUGGAAAGCCCCAUUUCUCAUAUCUGGCUGUCCAUUAACAGACAGCAGCAAGGGUUACAAAGCUGAUGAGAAGCACUGAAGGCGUGGAUGGAACACAAGGAUAGGCUUUCUCACCAUGUGAUGCAUUCUGCUAUGUUAUGAUACAGCAAGAAGGGCCUCACAAGAUGUGACCUCUUGUUCUUGGACUUCUCAGCCUCCAGAAUCAUGAGAGGGAGUGAGAGAAGUCAAACCUCUACCAGACUAGACAGAAUUUGCAUGUCUAUCUCUUACCU